rnacentral:miRNA from 1 species
AAGGGAUAUCCUGUGUGAAAGG